CAUUAGAACUGGUUUGGUUCAUCUCAUUGCUGAAGAUGGCCAGGUCCAUCAGAAUUGAUCAUCAUACAGUAUUGCUGUUGAAGUAUAUAAUGAUCUCCUGGCCCUGCUCAUUUCACUUAGCGUCAGUUCAUGUAAGUCUCUUCAGGCCUUUCUGAAAUCAUCCUGUUGGUCAUUUCUUACUGAAUAAUAAUAUUCCAUAAUGGAAUAUGUUUUUUUGAUUUAAAUCCUUAGAGAGAGGCAAUGCAGAAAAAGAAGAGGGUUGUGAAGCUUGGAUUUCCAGAAUUUAACGAAAAAAAAUCUGUUUUUGCUUUUUUCCUCCAACAUUAUUGACUGUUGUUAUGUCCCAUUAUUGUUUAUUAAUCUUCCUAAUGUGUGUUUCUGACAUUGGGUAUGGUUAUUGGUUGUAUAGCAAAAGUGUCUCUGAUAGAAUUUUUCUUUCUAACUAUACUGUCCUAGCAGUAGGAAUAGGAAUAGUAAUUGGCACUGAGGUAGCAUUUUAUGGUGUGCCAAAUGCUUUACAUUAUUUAUCUCAUCUAAUUCUCCCCAAACCCCUUUGAGUAAUUGUCCUCAUCUUAUAGAUGAGGAAAAUGGGAUUGAGGGAUUUUGCUAGGUUCAAAAGGGAGCCCUUUUUGGGAUAAUUAAUGGGGAUUCUGUUUCUUUGCUUUUGUGGAGUUGGAACUAUUUUUUAUUCUGUUCGAUGAUUUUGCUGUUCUUCUCACAAGAUAUUCCAUUUUUUACACCAGACAUUUUCAGUGGCUUUCCCUAUUUCCUUCCUAUUCGAGGUAAAAUCCCACCUUUUUUCUAGAAACUUUACUGAUUUCCUUAUAAUCUCAGUAUCUUUUAGGAUUAUGCUCAGUUUAUCCUGCAUUUAUUUUGUUACUUGACUUGGUCACCUGGUUUGCUGGUAAUUGAGCAAGAAAGCAACAAUUGGGAAUGAAGGAACUCAGCUAUUACUUUAAAAUGUUGAGGCUGAGGAGGAUUCUGGUAAGAUGGCAGAGUAGUUCAGUAAAUUUCAAGCUUUUCUGAGUUUUCCUACAAAUUGAACAAAUUUGUGCUUCAGGCUCAACAUCGACUGAUAAAAAACAUAUGGAAGACUUGGGUUUGGAUAGAAAUCCUCCUGAUAUAAUUCAAAAUCUGAAGAAAGCCCUCAGGAUGGGAUUAGGCAGUAGAAGUGCAUACACCUCUGGGCUAGUUCCACAGAAACACCUAGUAGGUACCUGUCUGGAUUGCCUGGACUCUCUGCAGGAACUAUAGAAAUUUUCACUUCCCUCACAGCUGUGUGAGAGUUAGGAUCUGAGUCUGGGAAGACUCCGGAAACUUCUGACUGAUUAGGAACAGGACCAGCUGGCAGAAAGAAAGAAGCCCCUUGGUAAGAAGGAGGUACCACACCUUGUAAAUGCAGCUGCAAUUCAACUGGAUGCUGCUGGUUCCCACACUUGCUGAAGGGUGGAAUUUUUGGUUUGAAGUUCCAGGUCAGAGGGGAGAGCUUAAAUGAAGGCUGAGGCAUUAUCCCCUCCCCCGCCUCCUCCCAGGAUUAGAAGAGUUUACACUAAUACUAUUCAUUUAAAAAAGAAAAUUGAAAUAAACAGAUCUUUUGGGGGUCCCGGAUCCCAUUCUGGGGAGCUUCCAAACCUUUGGAAAUGCAUACCUUUCCCAGACAAACCCUACCCAAGUGGUUUCAUUCAAUUGGAGAUCUUGGUCAAAUCACCUUCCAUUGAAACAUCUUUUGGGGGUGGCCCAGAUCCCCAUUGAGCAAUUCCCAGACUAUGGGAAAAGCCUUCAAACUCCCAGUUAAGUGAUUUUAUUCAAUUAGAGAUUUAAGCCUGGGGCAUUGAUAACAUUAAAGGAAUCACUUUUAAUUUUGAAUGCAAGCCUGGGCCUCAGAUGGCUAAUAAAAGACAACUCUUAACUCCGAAUCUUUACAGAAGUUUGAAACAGAAUUAUGCUUGCUAAUAAAGGUGCCUUGGCAAAGCUGCCUGCCAGGACUUUUGCCCACUGUGAAGAUAUUCACAGUGUUUGUUACUGACAGAACCUUUUGCCACUAAGAAGUCUUCCUAGCAAAACUUGGUUCUCAGUGCCAGUAAAAUUCCCUUUUCUGCCACUCAGAUUUUCUGGUUUGCGAAUUCUUUUCGCAUUGGACCUGCACAGGACUAGAGGGGAUUCUCCAUCCCAAAUCUUGCACCCCUUCACUAUCAUUAGCCUCAUCAUUUGUACCUCAUCAAAAUGAACUGGUAAAGAAGAAAGAACCUGAUCACAGAAACUUAUAAUGGGGAAUAGGGGAUACCAGGAUUCAUCUUUUUUUUUUAAUAGUUUUUAAUUUACAAGUUAUAUGCAUGGGUAAUUUUACAGCACUGACAAUUGUCAAACCUUUUGUUCCAAUUUUUCCCCUCUUUUCCCUCACCCCCUCCCCCAGAUGGCAGAUUGAGAGGGUUCAUCUUCACAAAAAAGUUAAUGAAGUAAAAAAAGUUUCUUCUCCCCAAAGGGUAACAUUAAAUGACUCCCUGCCCAGAAAGAAUUUAUAGAAAAACUCAAAAAAGAAUUUAAAAAUUAAGUGAGGGACAUUGAGGAAAAACUAAAAAACAAAACAAAACAAAACAAAACAAAAAACUACCUAAGAAAAAUAAGAAAAUUACAGGGAAAAAAGUUAACCAACUAGAAAAGAACAUACAGAGCAAGUGGGAUGGACAUGAGGUCUUCUUAGAAAACUGACCAUAGUUUAGAGCUACAAUUCUGGGAAAACCCCCCUUUGUUUGUACCCUUGGUUAAUUUCACACAAACUACUUUGUAAUCUAUAGUUCCCUCUCUUCUUGUACUCUGAGAGUGGAGUGGUUCCCGUGACAGAUUGUGAGCCCUAAUACUAAGUCAAGGAUGCUUGGGUUCAGAAUAUAAAAAAAUCCUGUCCUUUGCCUGACUCCACUAGACUAUGCUAGUGGAGGCAACACCCUUUUCCUGCAGGAAUUGAAUGAAUUCCUUUCUGCUCUGGCUCUGAGAAAAAUGUAUUUAAAUUAUUUUGGGUUAGUGGUCUCAGUCCCACAUAAGAGUUUUAAAGAUAAAAAUAACUCUUUGAAAAUUAGAAUUGGGCACAGGGAAGCCAGUGAAGCAAUGAGACCAUAAAAUAACAAUAUACAAUAUAAAGAAAAAAAAAACAGAACAGAAUGUGAAAUAUCUUAAAGAAAAACAACAGAUCUGGAGAACAGCUCAAGAAGAGAAAAUAUAAACAUAAUUGGACUAUCUGAAAGCUAUGACCAAAAAAAAAAAAAAAAAAAAAAAAAAAAGAACCUUGACACAAUAAGCAAGAAAUAAUCCAAGAGAAUUGUCCUAGAAUUCAUGUCCUAGAACAUGAAUGGAAAGUAGAAAUCCAACAAUCACCACCUCAAAGACAUCUUUUGGGGAAUAGACAUAGGGAUAUUAUUGCUAAAUUUUGAAACUCCCAUAUCAAAAAGAAA